GUGGACAGCCACUCCGGCCUCGGAGGCCCAGAGCUGUGCCUUCCAAAGACCACCGCAGAAACCCCCUUCGGCACCCACCAACGCCUGCUAGAGUUUACACGGGGCUGACCAGUGCUUUGAGCUGGGAGUCCAGGGCUUGGAACUCCGUCCUUUGAGGGGCGUGGCUGACUGUCCUCCGAGGGGCGUGGCUGACCAGGCAGGCCCGGGACCGGCAUCCCAUGCUUCUUGGGAGACCUGCCUUGGCUGACCCAAAGCAAAAAAGGGAGCAUUCUUAAAAGCGCUGCCAUGAACCGGGAUCAGCAUAAGACAGAGGGAUUAAGCUACCUAUUCCGUGCUCCCCUGGAAUCACAAACACGCCAUGGGGCGUAUUCCUGGGCUGAGCAGCAGAGGUCAGGGCCAACCCAGUGUGAUGCAAAUCGCCGCCUCGCCCCACAUGCCUGUGUCACUGGCCAGCCAGAAAUCCUGCCGCCCGCCCGCAUCAUUCCUCCGGGUGAGGGCAAGUGGAGACGCACAGGUUACCUGGGAGAGGAAGGUGACACAGGCACUCGCGAACUGCCAGGACCCCGCACUUGGCUUUCAGAUCAGGUGGGAAGACAGAGAACAGGUCCUGAGGAGCCCUGUGGGCUCUGUGAGGGCAGGACAUGUGGGGCCUGGGGGAAGGGGUGGAGAGAGUGGUGACCGUGCUCUGAAGAUGCGGGCUGUGGGGACGGCAGGCGCGGAGCCCCUCCUGGCGCGGCCAUGCUGUCUUUUCUCACCUGGGACUGACGCCUCCCUGUGCCACAGUGUCGUUGUCCCAUUUACAGAUGCCAAAGCUGAGGCUCAGGGAGGGUGGGGAGUAACUCGCCCACUGACACACAGCCGGCAAGAGGCAGAGCUUUGCAAAUAGUUUUUGAAAACGACCCAACAUGGCAGAGAAAAUACUCUUGGCCUCCAGUUCCCUCGACAUCCAUCCACACGCGCCCGCCGUGGUUCCCAGCUCCUGCGCCCCCUGAGACCUCCGGGAAGGCAGUGGGGAGAGAGAGGAUGGGCAGGAGGUAGUCGGCGGCGGGCCGGGGGCCCUUGGCCUCCCAGUGUCCCCGCUCUCUUCCAAACGCCAUCAUCGUGAAGCCAAUCCUCCGACAAGAUGCAGUGAACAGAUGUAAUGUCUACACGGCGUUGGGCGAGUUCCCGAGGCCCCGGGCUGUUUGGAAAUCACACCUCAUUAAGAGACAGACUGUUCCUUCCCUUCUUGGGUCAUUGUGCUUAUGAUGAGGCCAGCUCUGAAGUGACCCUAAGCCAGGGCGCCCAAUGGCUUCAAGAAAUCUGAACUUGGACCGGCUGGGAGCAAACACAGGGAACGUUAAAUAUUGCCCCGUGCCCCUCGUCAUCCCCCAGCCCCCCCCCCUCGUCAUCCCCCAGCCCCCCGCCCCAACUUCACAAGUGAAGCAACGAGAUGCCGUGGGACGGCUUCCAGACCCCAGAGACGGUCACCAGCCACGCAGGCUCCGACCCCCAGGUGAUACUUGUUCAGGCGGGUCCCUCACUCCUCCUGGGCCGCGCGACAAGCCAGGAAACCAGCUGGAUGAGCCAGCUGUUUUCCUCCUUAGGGUUAGUCCUCUUUCUGGCUGCCCCACCAGUUGUUCCCCAUUAAAUACUUAAAUGCAACCGUGGCCUCCUCCUUAGUCGUGUCCCUACAGCUUCUUCAAAGGAUCUCACAGAUGCAAAGGUCCUGCGGCUCCCACAGCGUGCGUGCCUGCGUGACUCCGCAGGCAGCCAACAUGCUCUGGGUCUGACUAAGGCCUCCUCUCGGGGCCGGGACUCGGGCCGAUGGCGGGG
ensembl:lncRNA